rnacentral:rRNA from 1 species
CGCGUAGGCGGUUUGAUAAGUCAGAUGUGAAAGCCCACGGCUUAACUGUGGAAGUGCAUUUGAAACUGUCAGACUUGAGUAUCAGAGGGGAAAGUGGAAUUCCCGGUGUAGAGGUGAAAUUCGUAGAUAUCGGGAGGAAUACCGGAGGCGAAGGCGACUUUCUGGCUGAAUACUGACGCUGAGGCGCGAAAGCGUGGGGAGCAAACA